CUGAGCAACACCUCCAACCACUAACUCCACCACUACUUCAUUAUCUCUUGUCAGUCACCUUAUGUAGAGCCUCAUAUCUCCUUUUGGACACACAAUCAGUCUAUGUAUAUAAAUCAUCUUAAGUAUCUAUAUUGUGCUUUUAUAUCAGAAUAAGCAUAAGAAUCAUGUUUAGUAUCAUUGGCAUAUGUCAUGAAAUUUUUUGUCUUUGCAGCGACUACAAUGCAAUACACAAUAAUAGGAAAAAAAUCCAUGAAUUACAAUGACUCCACCAUGGACUGCCCCAAAGCCACCUGUUAAAGGAGGGUUGGGCAUGGGGCAAGUAACUCCAUCCCAUUAUAAACCCAGAGCUACAGAGAUACCAGCAGAAGUUCCAAAGGCAUCAUCCCAAGAUGGGUUACUCCUGGGGACAACUUAAAGACAAACCCAGGACAGAGGACUCUGGCGAGCUGCUGUCUGGCCUCUGCCCCAGGAGGGCUGAUGGACUAAGUAAUACCUCAUUGUGACCUUGCACCUCCCUGUCUACCUGCACUGCACAUUCUCGGCCAACACUCUUUUGGAAGCAGAAUACAGGACAUUAAGGCCUUGCUGUCUUGUCACUGCUGCCAUCAGGAAUGAGGUACUGGACUCUCAGGUCCCACACCACCAGGUUCAGAAAGAGUUAUUUCCUCCUACUAUCAGGCUCCUGAAGCAGAGGGGAUAACUUCACUCACCCCAACAAUGAAAUGUUUCCACAACCUAUAGACUCACUUUCAUAGACUCUUCAUGUUCUCGAUAUUUAUUGCUUAUUUAUUUAUCAUAAUUUUGCUUGUUUUUUGUUAUUUUUGUUUCCUUGCAUUUACUGUGAAUGGCCACAAAAAAAUGAAUCUCAGGGUUGUAUAU